CGUCCAGUUACCUCUUCAAAGCUGUAAGCAAGAAAGAUUUCCCAGGCUUGCCAUCUUUUAAAUGUGGAUUUCACAGAGGCGGAUCCAGCUUAUAAAGGGUUUAAUAGGUUGUCAGUUGUCAGAGCUAGCCAGCUAUUGGUUUUUGCCAGCAACAGAGGAAGAUCUUACUAGCUUCUUUCAGAAAGAUCAUUUCCGUGGGUGGCUUCUUCCCUCCUCACCAAAUAUCAACUAACGCAAAACCAGCGCAGAUCACCAUCACAUAAAACUGAAGACAGAGAAGGAAUAUUGGUCAUAGAAUUUGUCUGUUGCAGAGAUGAGACAAUCUGUCUUAUGGCUAACAGUCCCAAAAGAAUAUGGUGGUUGUAGAAAAUAAUGAGCAUGAAGGAAGAAGCAUAUAAACAAUCCUACUCCCUGCAAAUGUGUCCUGAGUCAUCCCUUCGUGGGACAGCCAGUGAACAAAGCAGAACACCAAGGAGACAUAAGGAAGUCUUGGAGAUUUGUGUUUUUCACGUGUUCCUCAGGAGAUAUUUUUGAAAGACCUUCAAACCUUUGGAUCAAGAAAGUACUGCAGAAAGAGAAGUCCUGGACUGCUAACAAGAAACAAAGAGUUUGUACACUUAGGAUUUAGAAUUAAACAGGAUUCUCAAUGCAUGGUUAUUACUUACUGAGCUAGUUCCAGUAAAAAGCUUAGUAUUUCAUUGUAUAGAAUGUCAUCCUUUAAUUAAAGGCCAUUUAAGCCAGAUUUUCUUGUAACCAAAUCAGAUCCUUAAAAUACUUGAAUAAAUUGUAUUUUACAGUUAUGUUUAACUGAAAACUGAGAAAAAAAUAUUGCUUUCAGUACCAACUGAAAUAUUCAUCUGUCAUUUUCUAUGUUAUCACAUUACAGAAUACUGAUACCCAAACUACUGCAAUGACCAAACUAUUUUAUUAUAUUUUGGCAAUGGAAGCACAAAUUCUUUUCUUAUAAAAUAUAGUCUGAAAUUAAAUAAUUAAGGUUUCUGGUUGCAAAAGAAGUACAAUAAAGGAAAUGAGUGAGUUGACAAUUUGCUUUAGUCAAUAUUCUACAAAAUAUAAUUGUGUAUGACCAACUUUUAGUCAACAAAACUAUUGGAUUUAUUUAAUUUUACACUGUAGCUCUUUGUUUCAUGCUGCUAGUAUACCUCUGGAUGCUGAAAAAAUCAUUUAAUCACAUUUGACUCUGGGGAAGAAACCUGAAGACAGAAAAUUUGUGAGAAACUGCCAGAGUUUAUCUAAUUUCAUCUUGAAUUUACAUACUCUAGGAUUUUGUCCACUGGGUCAUAUUGCAAAAAAAAGCCAUGAAUACCAAUGCAUAACAGCAUGCUGCACUGUAAGGGUUUUAUGUUUUUUAAAUAAUCUACCUCUUUCAGUUUCUCCUCCUGAAGAAACAAUGAUUUUCACUCCUUACUGAUAUUUUAUUGAAAGACUGAAAAGGAAUAGGAUCCACAUUCCUUCUGGAUUAAAUAAUCUACUAAAUUUGCAAUCUGAUAUUCAAAAGAAAAAAUUAGAGCUGAUCAGUUAAAGUGGGUCUUUAUUAUAUCCCUUAAAAUACCUUGAUAUUUUAAGGGAUAUGCAAGACCUCCUUAAUUUCUAAGGGAAUUUUGA